rnacentral:lncRNA from 1 species
AUGGCUCAGAGGUGGGCUUUGGGGGGAGGUGUUCCGGUUUGUCCGGGAUUUAAUGAGUUGCCCGAUAUUCUAUUUCAGCUGGACCAAACAUCUUCCUCUCCCGUGCUGACCUUUGCAGUGAGGUUGUGCAUGGAGAAAUGUGCCGAAACGCCCUGUUGCCAUGAGAACCGAGGCCAAGAGAGGACCGGCGUGCUUCUGCUAAUUGCUGCAGCUCCUUCACCUGGCCGCAAACCCCACUGCACGAAGCCAGCCCUGUGGUGCUCCGGCCCCAUCCUGCCCCGCAGCCCAGGUCUGGACGUCUCCCGAGCACCCAAGGUUGCCGUGGCUCUGUCCCCAAGGAGGUGAGGACAGCUUGAGGUCUGUCUCCAGUCCCAGGAGGAGAGGACAAGGGAGAGAAGAUUGGGGCUGUGAGGCUGGAAGAGCUUAUAGAGGGAUAAGAUGCCUACAGC